AUGUGAUCUCAUUUAUUUUUCUCGAAAACUCGUCGGUACGUACGUACGUGCGCGUAUAAAAAUAUAAUACGCGGGUCAUCGACUUUCACGACCAAUAUACAUUACUGUGAACUUUAAUUUAUCAAUGUGAUGACGAGUAAAAAAAGGAAAUAAUUAAAUUUAUUGUGUGAUGUAUAAUAGAAAAAUAUUUGCUAUAUUCGGUUUACCGACGAACAUCUUUCUUUCUCCUCAUAAAAGAAGACUCGUAUUUAGUUCUCGUUCGGUUUGACGACACUUGUUAAUAUUCUUGAAAACAACGAUCAUGUAUCGAAUGUGCGUCAAACACAUAGUGUCAUUCGUCUGAUAUCUCAAAACAAAUAAAUGAAAAAUGAAAUAAGAAAAUGCAAAGAAAGAAAAAAAUUUAAAAAUCGAAAGGAAUUGUAUAAAAAUUUAGAGAGAUGACGUACCCUAAGUUGAUGGAGGAAAAAUACCUACGUUGGUAUUGUAUAUGUAUAGUUGAAGUACGAAAAAUUGAAAAUAAAAUUGAAAAAAUGGUGAGAAAAAAAUAAAAACUAAAAUAAACUAAAAUAAAACCAAUUAAUUUAUAGAAGAGCUUUCAACGAUAAAGCUUUACUCUUUACUGUGCAUGUUUUAGUGCAUAGUUUAUCAACAAUAUUUAUAGUAUACUAUUAUAAUAUUAAUCAUUUGUAUAGAUGUAAAGAAAUGUUAUAGCUAUAUUGUAAAAUAUACACAUUAUGCUAAACUAAAUUAGGCUAUGUCAUUGAAAAAACCGCUAGAAUCAGAUGAUUCAUUUUGUGACGAUUAACAGCUAUAUUAAUGUAUAAACGCGCACGUACUUGAUAUGUGUGCAUGUAUAUGUAUAUAUAUAUAUAUCUGAUAGCGGCGGUAGAGAUUUUCUAAAUGAUGAUGCAAUUACUCUCGUAUAUGUGAAUAGAAACUGGGCUGGUGUGACCAGCUUUAGUGAUAGUCGCAGAUUUUGACUAGCCAACUUCCAACCUAUUCACAUCGCAUAUAUCAGGUAUUGACACCGCCGUCACUGUUUAGUAUUCGCAUAAACAAAAGGAGAAAAAACAGAAAGGAAAUUAUAAUAAUGAUCAAUUAUUUUCAAUUAAUAUUAAUAUUGCUAUUGUUGUUAUUAUUAUUCUUUUACUUAUGCAAAGGAUGCGUGUAAGCGAAAAACUUACAGAUUCAUAUGUACGAAUAUUUGGUACAUAUAUUGAAACACCAUCAUUUUUUUUUUUCAAUUUUCAUUAUUUUCUAUUUUCUAGUAUUUUUAUUUUCGUCUUUCUCACCUAUGAAGUAAAUAUAUAUUUAUAUAUAUCAGUUGAAAGGCAUAUUUAUAUUUCUUUCUUUUGUAUGACAGAACAGAAUUGUUCGAAUUGAUUGAUGAAAUAUAUGAUAAUAAUAGUAAUAAUAUUAAUAACAACAAUACUAUUAUAUCAAUGAAAUCAAAUUAAAGAAAAAAGGAAAAAAAUAUUCACUCUUUAGCCAUUUAAGAAAAAGAUAACUCUAUGUGAUCGUUGCGCGAGCCAUUGAGCCCAGCAAAUUUAUUUAAUUAAUAAAGGAAUCAAUGAAGUUUAAAAUAAGAAAAACAAAAUAAAAAACCAAAAAAAAAAAGAAAGAAAUAUAUAUUUCUACUGUGUAUUUAUUUAUUUAUUCAUGUAACAUAUAAGAAGGCACUUUGACAACCAGUUUUGAAUAACAAAUCUACAUUUUAAUAAUACAAUACCAAUAACAUCUGAAUAUCUUUACGGCUAGGGAGUUUUAUAAGCGAUUUGUAACGUCAACUAGACGAUAGAAUGAAUAAAAGGGGCGCAAACAUAAAUAUUACACUAGCUCGCUGAUGUCAGCAGAUAACAACGUUAUUAUGUAGUGCCGGCUGGUUGCUACGCAGCGAACCAAUCGGUCUGCAAAAGACGAAACUGCAAUUGACAUAUGUAUACGUAGUUAUAUUGGCGAACAUUCGAAAUCAUAUGAGAUAUAGCCACACACGCGAGUCUAUGUUACAAUGAUAUUUCUAAUUAUUUGGUCUCGAUUUUGGUACGCGUUACCUUCACGUAGAUGAAUCAUAAAAGCUCCUGUUAACCCUAGAAAGCUUACAUGUGAAAUUCUUCUAUGGUGGGUCAAGAUUAAUAUCCCAAAUUUUUGCCUUACCACGCAAAUUAUCGUAGGUAAUAAUCUAAUUGAAAAAGUUGUAGUUAAAAUUGUCUUACUUUAACGUAAAUGAAACACCACGCCUUGGUAUAGCAUACAUACGUAUAUGACGUAUAUUUGAUUGUUGGAUACAAAAUCCGCGUUUGUGAAUCACAACGAGUAAGUCAUACUGCUGCCAUAAAAACUUUCCAAGACUCAAACGAGAAGUUUCUAUGACACAAAGUCAACUGGGUAGUGUAUCUAUACUUUGUCACCCACGUCGUUUAGUACAGUAAGUUAUUUUAUACCGUGUACUAUUUCUUUGCGUACGUAGGUAGUUACGUAAGGCGUUAGAAUCGAACUCUUCUUUGGAUUGGAUUUAACGAAGAAUUACAGAAACUUAUGUAACUACUUCCCAAUCCAUUCGACCUGAUUUUUACCUCCGAGCAAUACUAGCAGCUACGAUGGGUUGAUGAGAAUAAGAGAGAAAAGAAAAAGAAAGAUAAAAAAUAAUUAUCGACCCUCCCCGGUGACAGGCAUCAAUUAUUGCCACUACCUAGGAAGCGCGCGAUAUGAGUGGUUUCAAAUUUAAUUGAAUGGUCAGAAUCCCGAUCACGCAAUCACUGUUGCCGUCGACCAACCAUAUUUGGAUAUCAACCGAUCCGGAUUGAGGAUUACAUUUAUACAAGAUCUCAUUAGCUGG
rnacentral:lncRNA from 1 species